AUUCAAACAUUAAAAUUAAGCAACCAAACUUCAUAUAUAUUCAUCCAACUUGAACAAUAUGCAAGUAUAAAAAGUAUGCAAAAUAGCAGCAAAACAAGUUCUUCCAAACACUCACUAACAGAAUCCAAAACUAAAAUAACAACACCACCUAAUACUCCAUUUCAUCCUCUCCAUCAUCCUCAUCCUCUUCAUCAAUUACCAAUUUCCUCUUAGUUGUUCCCAUGGAUACUGAGCCACACAUAUGCAACGAGCCACCCUUCUUGGACUUUCGAGCUAUCUUUAUCUUGGUGCUCUUCUUUUGAAACACUGGAGACUGCCAGUAUACAAUAAGUUGAUCUCAAUAAUAUGACCCAAGUCAUCUAGGCCGCCGUUCGUUACUUCGAGCUUUAGAAAGCAUGUAUGACAAUAGAGAAAAUGCCUUCUUAAAAUUACUUUGAAUAACCCGAUCCUUGAAAAGACUUCAUGUACUGCUUUUCUACAAAUAAAAUAUAUAGCUUUGAGGCAAGAAAAAAAUUUCAUUUCAACUGGCAUGAAUUUAUUUAUUUUUUAAUUAAAAAAAGCUGUUUUGAAGUAUUAAAUAUAAAAUUGUAACAAUUCUGAGAUUCUUCACUAUGCUAAUAACAUAUGAAAAUAGUACAAAUGAAACUUUUAACUUACAACAUUCAUGAUGUUGAGGCCAGAAAUCCAAGUGAUAACAGGCCACCAAAUCAAUAAAUAUUUCUCCAUGCAAGUCUACAGGUCACCUUGAACCCAUUUUCUCAAGGUGAAUAUUUUCACAAGUUCAUUGUCACUGUUGGUAGAUGCCACAAUAUUUAUCUGUUACUUUUUAAUUAAGUCAGACCGAAGAGUAGAAGUUGGUCUGAUGUCACUGUAAUUCAAUAAUAAAUAGAAGCAUGCACUGAUUAUAUAUUUAUCCUCAAACAAUGUAUAUAUAUUCUCCAUUAACCCUACUUUAUGGGAAUACACUAGGUAUAUUGUUGCUCUAGUUAAUGCGCCAUGCCUGAAGCACAACUAUUGCCAACUUGCAAUGGAGCAUUUCAUCCUAUCUCAAGAACAUAGAAGUUUCUUUAAUCUUCAGAACCCAUGAAAACAAUCUUCAAUUUAAUUAAAGUCUUAACAAUUAGCUCAAUGCAAAAAACAAGAAACUGCAACAGUUUCUUAGCAACAAACAUCAAAAGCAUCAUGAAGUAGAUAAGUAUCUUUAUUACCAUCUUAUCUCCAACUAACAAGCCUUAUGAACUCUUUCCUUGCUGACAAAGUAAAACAAGGCAUAGACAACUGUAACUUAGUAGUAUCUAAGAUGUAGAAGUUCUCCUCUAUUCUAUUUUAUGUGACGAUGUUUGAUUGGACCUAAAGUUGAAAAGAAAAAGGAUGACUUUGAAACUCGCCAUCUAAAUAAUUCAUAGAUAUUUGUGUGGCAAUAAAUGAUCUCGUUAAAGAUAAUAUGAAGAGUUUAAAAUUAAAUCAUCAGAGCAACAAAGCAACUAAAGUAGAGAUGUAUAGGAUGAUCCUAAGUGCUAUUAUAUACUUAAAUGGAAAGAAAGAAACCUUCAAGUUUUUUCAAAGCAAACAAAGGCCUCCUGAUGUAAUUAUUCGACUAAUGGUGCAGGAUGUGGCAUGUAUAUGUCAAUUAAAACCAAAACUAGCAGGGGGUCUACAAAAGCUUAACAAUUAUCCAUGAUGUUAGUUGUUGGUAGGUAAUUUUAGUGUUAGCAGGCUGUUAGCAGAAGGUUGGGACUCUAUCCAACCUCAGAUUAUCUUUUUUUGCUGUAAAAUUCUCUACUUGAUAAUGAAAUCAAUUUCUUUCCAAAAGAUUAAACUGUUUUAAAAUAUAGAAUGCAUUAUUCUCUUUGAAACAAACCAAGAUUGAAAAGCAUGCCACGUAAAAUGCGAUAGGGAGAGUAACACUGAGCUAACUGUAAGCUUCACAGUAACUAUACAUAUUGAUCUUUAAACUAAAACUUUUACACUCUCCACACAAUAAGAAGAAUGAAGAAUCAAACUAUACAUCUGGUUUGAGUAACUAUGUGUAAUCUUUAACGCCCCUUCACCUCAGAACCUAAGAAAAUAAUCUCCGAUUUGAUUUAAAGAUUUAACAACUAGCUAAAUGCAAGAAAGAAGAAUCUGUCAACAGUGUUUUUAAUUUCACUAAAUCAAGAAACUUCAAAAGCAUCACGACUUUACAGAAAACUAAAACAAUAGUAAUCUUCAAGCCAGAAGUAGAUAAGUAUUUGUAUUACCAUCUCAUCUCCAACUAACAAUCCUUAUUAACUCUUUCAUUACGACAAAGGAAAACAAGGCAGUGUCAAAGUUACUUUUCACAGUACACGCACAAUAAACCUCAAAAAUUAUAAGCAGCACAUGGUAACAUGAAAAAUGCUGAAAAUAUCUUUUUUAUUAACUGUGAGGUUUUGGAGCGUUUAAUUCAUUUUGUUAUCUGAAGUAUACAUACCAUAAAAUCAUUAAGGACUCCUUGUUGCAUACGAGAUGACACUUCACUCCAAAGAGAAUGUAAAAUGACCUCGGGAGCUUCACAGCAGGG
rnacentral:lncRNA from 1 species